rnacentral:rRNA from 1 species
GGAUGCGAUCAUACCAGCACUAAUGCACCAGAUCCCAUCAGAACUCUAUAGUUAAGCGUGCUUGGGGUAGAGUAGUACUAGGAUGGGUGAUCUCCAAGAAAGUCCUCGUGUGUCAUCCC